CGAUUCUAUUUCUUGCAUUUGUUUAAUCUUUGAUUACUUUCUGUUAUCAUUCAUAGUCAUUCGACCCCAAAAUUUUAAGACUAGGAUUUUAGAUUUGAUUACUGUUAUUAUAUUCCUCGCUAUUAUUCACAGAUUAAUCCACAGUCGUUAUUUGCGGAUGCAGCAUCAUUGAGAUUCACAGUGCCAAAGCACAGAAGCAACAAUCUGAUUAAUCUCUCUCCGCAUAUGCUUUGGAAUUGAGAAUCUUGAUGAUGCUGCAUCAGCCAAUAAAUGACUACAAACCUCAAAGCAGGAUCUUGAUUUUGCAGCUUUGUUUGUUAAAGGAAUCAAGGAAGUUAUUAUGAUAAUGCAAAGAAGAAAGGUGAGUGAGGUAAACUUUGCUCUUAUCUCACUACACUUUUUGGAGCAAUAUAUGCGCAUUUGUCUUGCUGCUAUGUAUUUUUUUCUUUUUAUUUUUAGGGCUAUAAAUCUAAUUAAUAUCAAUUUAGGUGUAGGGUUUUAUUAUCCCUGACAAAAAUAGCGUUUUUCAUUAAAAUACAGUAGUUAUUUUAAGGGGAAUUCUUGUCUGUGUUGGAUUAACAGUUUUGAAGCUUGGAGCUUCCCUAGGAACUAGAACGAUCGAGCUAGAAUCUUGGCUACAUGAUGUCACAUUGAAUGGUUGUGUUCACUACCACAAUAUUGAGAAAUAUUAUUUGUAAUCAUUUCCAAUUGAAGGAGCAUCCAUGGAGUUAUCUCCUACCCAUUUCUUCUUUAAUUAUAUUUCCUCUUUGUUUCUCUCUUAUAGAAACAUGUAGGUUUUAGGAAGAAUCCUAUAAUUUCAAGGCAAGCAAUUAUAGUAGAAAAAUUAGUUGUUUCUGUAAUUUUGCUAACUCAAAUCGAAUCCCCAACGUCCCCUCCUCACCCCUCAACCUCCAAAAAUGACAGAAAUUUCACUUGAGUCCUAAAUAGUUAGAUUUUGUUGUCCUUAAAUUCAUCCCCUUUUCACUCGUUAGAUAUAUUUAACUCUUGACAUUUUUAGUGAAUCCCUGAGACCUAUUCUUUGGCCUGUUAUCUUGUUGUCCUCUAAGUACUCUUUCUUUUGUUUUAGUGAAUCCUUGAGAGCUACUCCUUGGCCUGUUAUCUUGUCGUCCUUUAAGUACUCUUUCUUUUGUUUUACCAACAAUCAGAAUCACCCAGCUGUAAUGCUGCACUUGUGAAUCAAUCAAAUGGAAAGCAAAUUACAUGAAUGAACUUCAGGAUAGACCUAGCUGGAGGAAUAACCCCGGCCUUCUUUUUUUUUUCCCUUACAACAAGUGAAAGAAUGAGAUAUUUGAAUCUAGGUUUUCUUUAUAAGAAGAACCAAGUAAUGUUACUCAAUCUCAUGGAAUUGACAAUAAUGGUUUAUAUUUCAUGUUAAUAAGACAUCUGAAAUACCAACGAGGUAAUAUCUCUAAAUUUUUCUUUAUCUUGAGGUAAAAUACAACUUUUGUAAAAUAUUAUUAUUUAAAGAACAAUGUCAUAGAUUAUGAAAUGCAUUUUGUUACUUAGUUUAUGUUCAUAGGAAUAAGAGAGUUACAAGGUUUUUGACAAUUGAAAUAAACCUUUUAGUUAUAGAAUAUUCUGAUAUAGCUGUUUUUCUGAGCUUGCACUUUGAUUAUCUUUAGAUUCAUCGAUCAUUAAUAAGUUUUAUUGCAGUGGCUUUAAACAGAGAUAGGCAUUUCAACCUUUUGAGUUCUAGAGUAAUCUAUGAGAUCUUGGGUUUUGUUUCAAUAUGCAUGAAGGUUAUAAUGAAGCAAUAUUGCAUAGAUAUGACUGACUAGUUUCAGGGAGUCUAUGCACGUCAGGUUGUACCACAUGUAAAACAAAAGAUGCCAUAAAACAACAUAAAGCCUUAGCUGUAACUCAAAAAUAUAAAGGAUCAUAAUGAUUAUUAUAGUUGACUGGUAUUUAGUUUACAUAGCAAAUGAUUAUGUAUGGGUUCAAGAUUGAUUGUUUGAUGUUGUCGGUUGGGAAGCAACUUCAGUGAAGAAUGAAUUUUAAUAUUAUUUUGAUCUUAGUUGUAAAUGUUUUAAACUAACCCUGAAUUUUUGAGAUUAAGAUUUGAUUGUUGUUGUUGUUGUAAGAUUUGAAAUUUUGGAACUAAGAUUUUAUUGUUGUUGUUGUAAAUGUUUUUAACUAAACAAAAAUUGAAAACUAAGUCUUGAUUGCUGUUAUUAUUGUUAUAAAUGCAUUUAACCUAGCAUAAAUUUUAAACAAACUCUAGUCUUAAGGUGAAAUAUUUGAUGUUGUUCAUAUCUGUUUAGUUUUAGACCUUUUCUUUUGAACUUUUUAGUUCAUUUGUUUAUAUAUGUACAAUUUUCAAAACUUCAUUUUUCUCAAUACAACUCUAUUUUGACAAACUUUCAACAUAUAAAUGAAUAAACUUUCAAUGACAAAACGACAUUCGAAGACACUCUUAAUCUCUUAUAAAAACAUACACUGUGUAUAAUAAACAGUGCUCUAUAGUUAUAUAUACCAUCUAGUUUUUUUGAUAGAGGAGUGCCUUAGAGAAUUAAGAGAGCCACUUAACAGUAGAAUGAUAUUUGAAAUUAUUCUAUAACAAUGCUUCUAGUAAUAACCGUGACAUUUUUGUUUUACCUUGGAGUUGCAUUUAGUUGCUGCAGGGAACGUAGUUGUUUUUCAACCUAACCAGGUUAAAUGUACUGUAGAAAUGAGUGAAUUUUGAACCGACUUUUCUAUUUAUUAGCCAUGGAAUUGAAGAAGAAUCUUAAGCCAUGUCAUGUGGGGGCAGUUAGUGACAAAAGCUGUUAUAUCAUUUUGACAAUUGAAAAGGAGGGAGACGAAUAUCAUUCCUUCUAACGGAGGUCCACAAGUACAUUGAGUGAGAAAAAACCAAUGUUAGCGAGUACAAAGAGAUCAUAGCAAAUCCUUUUUUACUACGAACAAAUUUGUAUGCACAUGAAAUAAUGCUUGUAACUAUGUAUGUUCCUCUUUAGUCUAUUGGAUAAUGUUCUACUUAUAUUCACAAAAACAUGUGGUCAGAAUCUUGUAUUGUGUUCUCUUAUUAGUCUAUUGUGCAUUUUUACCUAAUAUCUGAGUUAUUAAUCAACAUCUUGACACAGUUGCAUCA